rnacentral:rRNA from 1 species
CCUACGGGAGGCAGCAGUGGGGAAUAUUGGACAAUGGGGGGAACCCUGAUCCAGCCAUGCCGCGUGUGUGAAGAAGGCCCUCGGGUUGUAAAGCACUUUCAGUGAGGAAGAACGCCUGGUGGUUAAUACCCAUCAGGAAAGACAUCACUCACAGAAGAAGCACCGGCUAACUCCGUGCCAGCAGCCGCGGUAAUACGGAGGGUGCGGGCGUUAAUCGGAAUUACUGGGCGUAAAGCGCGCGUAGGUGGCUUGAUAAGCCGGUUGUGAAAGCCCCGGGCUCAACCUGGGAACGGCAUCCGGAACUGUCAAGCUAGAGUGCAGGAGAGGAAGGUAGAAUUCCCGGUGUAGCGGUGAAAUGCGUAGAGAUCGGGAGGAAUACCAGUGGCGAAGGCGGCCUUCUGGACUGACACUGACACUGAGGUGCGAAAGCGUGGGUAGCAAACAGGAUUAGAUACCCGGGUAGUC